UAUUCUUUCAACAUGUAUAGAAAGGGGCAGCAACGUGGGGAGGAAAAAAAUGAAUCUCUUUCACAGGGGCAAAAACGUGAAGAAUGAUAUAGAGAUUAUACCCAUAUUGGUUUCCUCCGGAUCCUAGCAAAUCGGAAAAUUUCUUCGUAAUGAAGUAAGGUGGAAGAAGAGUAUUUCUUGGAAUAUAAGGGGCGACGAAGCAAGCUUGGUUACGGUUGAUCUACGACAGGUACAGAUAGUCGGUUUGGGGACCCUUCAGCAUAGGACUUCCACUCAGCUGUCUUGGAGAGCUCUGUUGUUCCGGAGCCUAGACUUUUGGUACAGAUCUUAUGAUGUACGUAUAUGUUUACCCAGGGGUACGGCGGGGCCCUGUCCCGUCAUAUUUCGCUAUCGAUACUCUUAGAGGUCUGUAGACAUAUGUGUGGGUUGUGUAUAAGUUUGUUAAGCUGUGUCUAUACGAUGUGCUAUGGAUAUGUUCGUAUGUAGUGACAGCCUUGUUGGCUUGCGCAUGAUAUUGAUAUGUAGUGGCAGCCUUGUCGGCUUGCGUAUCAUUUUAUGAUUUGAUCAGUUGUGACUCCUCAGGAGACAGUUAGCUGGACAUAUAUAUAUGAUGACGUUAUGAACCUUCA